AUAUCUAUACUACUAAGAGAGAAUGAGGGGCAGAAAAAUGACAAGCCAUUUAAACCGAU
rnacentral:sRNA from 1 species